rnacentral:rRNA from 1 species
UCGAGAAUCAUUCGCAAUGGGCGAAAGCCUGACGAUGCGACGCCGCGUGUGUGAUGAAGGCCUUCGGGUCGUAAAGCACUUUCGCCUGGGAACAAGAGAGGUGGGCUAAUAACCCGCUGAUUUGAGGGUACCAGGUAAAGAAGCACCGGCUAACUACGUGCCAGCAGCUGCGGUAAUACGUAGGGUGCUAGCGUUAAUCGGAAUUAUUGGGCGUAUAGGGCGCGUAGGCGGAUUGAUAAGUUGGAUGUGAAAUCCCAGAGCUCAACUCUGGAACUGCAUCCAAAACUGUUGAUCUAGAGGGUAGAUGGGGAAAAUGGAAUUCCACAAGUAGCGGUGAAAUGCGUAGAUAUGUGGAAGAACACCUGUGGCGAAAGCGGUUUUCCAAUUUACUCCUGACGCUGAGGCGCGAAAGCAAGGGGAUCAAACAGGAUUAGAUACCCCUGUAGUCC